rnacentral:rRNA from 1 species
CAGUCGCCACGGGAAUACAGAGGGUGCAAGCGUUAAUCGGAAUUACUGGGCGUAAAGCGUGCGCAGGCGGUUAUAUAAGACAGAUGUGAAAUCCCCGGGCUCAACCUGGGAACUGCAUUUGUGACUGUAUAGCUAGAGUACGGCAGAGGGUGAUGGAAUUCCGCGUGUAGCAGUGAAAUGCGUAGAUAUGCGGAGUAACACCGAUGGCGAAGGCAAUCCCCUGGGCCUGUACUGACGCUCAUGCACGAAAGCGUGGGGAGCAAACAGGAUUAGAUACCCCCGUAGUCCCUGUCUCUUAUAC